CCUACGGGUGGCAGCAGUGGGGAAUAUUGGGCAAUGGGCGCAAGCCUGACCCAGCAACGCCGCGUGAAGGAAGAAGGCUUUCGGGUUGUAAACUUCUUUUCUCAGGGACGAAGCAAGUGACGGUACCUGAGGACUAAGCCACGGCUAACUACGUGCCAGCAGCCGCGGUAAUACGUCGGUGGCAAGCGUUAUCCGGAUUUACUGGGUGUAAAGGUCGUGUAGGCGGGGACGUAAGUCAGAUGUGAAAACCACGGGCUCAACCUGUGGCCUGCAUUUGAAACUGUGUUUCUUGAGUACUGGAGCGGCAGACGGAAUGCCUAGUGUAGCGGGGAAAUGCGUAGAUAUUAGGAGGAACACCAGUGGCGAAGGCGGUCUGCUGGACAGCAACUGACGCUGAGGCGCGAAAGCGUGGGGAGCAAACAGGAUUAGAUACCCGAGUAGUC
rnacentral:rRNA from 1 species